rnacentral:rRNA from 1 species
ACUGGAAUUUCUUGUGUAGGAGUGAAAUCCGUAGAUAUAAGAAGGAACACCAUGGCGUAGGCAGGUGACUGGACCAUUUCUGACGCUAAGGCACGAAAGCGUGGGGAGCGAACCGGAUUAGAUACCCGGGUAGUCCACGCCGUAAACGAUGGAUACUGCUGUUGGAGGUAUCGACCCCUUCGUAGCGAAGCUAACGCGUUAAGUAUCCCGCCUGUGGAGUACGGCCGCAAGGCUAAAACAUAAAGGAAUUGACGGGGACCCGCACAAGCGGUGGAUCGUGUUCUUUAAUUCGAUGUAAACGAAGAACCUUACCAGGGCUUGACAUCCAGGGAAGUUCUGCGAAAGUGGACUGUGCCUUUUGGAACCCUGUGACAGGUGAUGCAUGGCCGUCGUCAGCUCGUGUCGUGAGAUGUUUGGUUAAGUCCAUCAAC